UAGCCUUCAGACUCACACACUUUAUAACACACGGCUGUUUACCACGGUACAAACCCAACACACACCAUGAAUCUCUUCAGCGGCUUCAUCUGGAUUCUGACAGCUUUUAUUCCAGCAUCCAGAGGAAUCACUGUGACUCAGCCUGAAGUUGUGACUGUUUCUGAAGGACAAAACGCCACUAUAGAGUGUAAAACUGAUGCUGGGAUAUAUAGCUGGGGUUUAGCUUGGUAUCAGCAGAAACACGGAGAAGCUCCUAAACUCAUCAUUACUGGGGUAAAUGAUCUCUAUGAUGAGAGUCUCAGUCGAUUCAGUGGGAAUGGAGAAUAUGAAGGAACAGAUUUCACUCUGAGCAUCAGUGGAGUCCAGACUGAAGAUGCUGGACAUUAUUACUGUCAGAGUUUACAUUGCAGACCAGAUUCUGAUGGUGAUUGUGCGGGUGAUUAUGUGUUCACACAGUGAUAAAGAGUCGUACAAAAACCUCCGUCAGUCAG